rnacentral:tRNA from 1 species
GAUAAAAUGGCUGAGCUUUAAGCAAUAAACUGUAAAUUUAUUUACGAAACAAGAUUUCUUUUAUCA